AUUGAACGCUGGCGGCAUGCCUUACACAUGCCAGUCGAACGGUAACGGGCCUUCGGGUGCCGACGAGUGGCGAACGGGUGAGUAAUACAUCGGAACGUGCCCGAUCGUGGGGGAUAACGAGGCGAAAGCUUUGCUAAUACCGCAUACGAUCUACGGAUGAAAGCAGGGGACCGCAAGGCCUUGCGCGGACGGAGCGGCCGAUGGCAGAUUAGGUAGUUGGUGGGAUAAAAGCUUACCAAGCCGACGAUCUGUAGCUGGUCUGAGAGGAUGAUCAGCCACACUGGGACUGAGACACGGCCCAGACUCCUACGGGAGGCAGCAGUGGGGAAUUUUGGACAAUGGGCGCAAGCCCGAUCCAGCCAUGCCGCGUGCAGGAUGAAGGCCUUCGGGUUGUAAACUGCUUUUGUACGGAACGAAAAGCCUUCUUUUAAUACAGGAGGGUCAUGACGGUACCGUAAGAAUAAGCACCGGCUAACUACGUG
rnacentral:rRNA from 1 species